rnacentral:rRNA from 1 species
AUGGAGGCGAUCGCCGGCGACGUCCACGUCCACGGCUACGGCUGGGCCGGGGUGUGGUCGGCGGCGGCCAGCCUCAUCUUCCUCUGGUCCAUGGUGCAGCAGCACCUCCCCGCCCAGCUCGAGGAGUACCUCUCCGCCCUCUCCCGCCGUCUCCAAGCGGCCAUCACCCCCUACGUCACCAUCUCCAUCGACGAGCACGUCCCCGACUCCUUCGGCCGCAGCGAGGCCUACCUCGCCGCCGAGGCCUACCUCAGCGCCACCUGCGCCUCGGGGGCCCGCCGCCUCCGCGCCGACCUCGCCGCCGACAGCGACCGCAUGAGCGUCGCCGUGGACGACCACGAGGAGGUCGUCGACGGGUUCCGCGGCGCCAAGCUCUGGUGGCGCAAGACCAAGACGCUCCCCCGGGGCAACGUCAUCAGCUGGUCCGCGCACGAGGAGGAGCGCCGCACCUACUGCCUCACCUUCCACCACCGCCACCGCGGCCUCGUCGACGCCUUCUACCUGCCGCACGUCCUCGCCGAGGGCCGCGCCGCCACCGUCAGGAACCGCCAGCGCCGCCUCUUCACCAACAACCCCAGCAGCGACUGGUCCGGCUACGAGGCGCGCGUCUGGAGCCACGUCAAGCUGGAGCACCCCUCCACCUUCGCCACGCUCGGCAUGGACCCGGACAAGAAGCGGGACAUCAUCGACGACCUCGACAUGUUCCGCGACGGCAAGGACUACUACGCCUCCGUCGGCAAGGCGUGGAAGCGCGGCUACCUGCUCUUCGGGCCUCCCGGCACCGGCAAGUCCACCAUGAUCGCCGCCAUGGCCAAGUACCUGGACUACGACGUGUACGACCUCGAGCUGACGUCGGUGAAGAGCAACACCGAGCUACGGAGGCUCUUCAUAGAGACCAAGGGCAAGUCCAUCAUCGUCGUCGAGGACAUCGACUGCUCCCUCGACCUCACCGGCAAGCGCAAGAAGAAGAAAAAGAAAGCGAGCAAGAAGAAGGGCAAGAGCGGCGACAAAAAGAAGAAGACCCCGCCGGCGCCAGGCGCCGGCAAGGACGAAGAAAACAAGGUGACGCUGUCGGGGUUGCUCAAUUUCAUCGACGGGCUGUGGUCAGCAUGCGGCGGCGAGCGGAUCAUCGUGUUCACCACCAACCACAAGGAGAAGCUUGACCCGGCGCUGAUACGACGGGGCAGGAUGGACGUGCACAUCGAGAUGACAUACUGCUGCUUCGAGUCCUUCAAAGUGCUCGCCAAGAACUACCUGCACGUCACCGACCACGAGCUCUUUCAUGAAAUCCGUCAACUUCUUGGGGAGGUGAACAUGACCCCGGCCGACGUGGCCGAGAACCUGAUGCCCAAGUCCAAAAAGAAGGAUGUGGACACCUCCCUGGCCAGGCUGGCCAAAGCGCUCAAGGAAGCAAAGGAGGAAGCGUUGGCCAAAGCACUGGCCGGGGCAGAGCACGAAGAGGGAACCGAAGAUGAUGACGAGGAGGAAGAUGACAGCAGCAGCUCGAGCGAAGAGGAGGAAAAUGGGAAGAAAAAAGAAGAGUAG